rnacentral:rRNA from 1 species
UGGGGGAAUUUUUGGACAAUGGGCGAAAGCCUGAUCCAGCAAUGCCGCGUGUGUGAAGAAGGCCUUCGGGUUGUAAAGCACUUUUGUCCGGAAAGAAAUCCUCUGGGUUAAUACCUCGGGGGGAUGACGGUACCGGAAGAAUAAGCACCGGCUAACUACGUGCCAGCAGCCGCGGUAAUACGUAGGGUGCAAGCGUUAAUCGGAAUUACUGGGCGUAAAGCGUGCGCAGGCGGUUUUGUAAGACGGAUGUGAAAUCCCCGGGCUUAACCUGGGAACUGCAUUCGUGACUGCAAGGCUAGAGUAUGGCAGAGGGGGGUUAGAAUUCCACGUGUAGCAGUGAAAUGCGUAGAGAUGUGGAGGAAUACCGAUGGCGAAGGCAGCCCCCUGGGCCAAUACUGACGCUCAUGCACGAAAGCGUGGGGAGCAAACAGGAUUAGAUACCCUGGUAGUCCACGCCCUAAACGAUGUCAACUAGCUGUUGGGGUUUAUUAACCUUAGUAGCGCAGCUAACGCGUGAAGUUGACCCGCCUGGGGAGUACGGUCGCAAGAUUAAAAGCUCAAAGGAAUUGACGGGGGUCAUAGCUG